UACGUAGGGUGCAAGCGUUAAUCGGAAUUACUGGGCGUAAAGCGUGCGCAGGCGGUUCGUUGUGUCGGCGGUGAAAGCCCCGGGCUUAACCUGGGAAUGGCCGUUGAAACUGGCGAACUGGAGUGUGGCAGAGGGGGGUGGAAUUCCGCGUGUAGCAGUGAAAUGCGUAGAGAUCGGAAGGAACGCCCGUGGCGAAAGCGAGGUCCUGGACGUCUACUGACGCUGAGACGCGAAAGCUAGGGUAGCGAACGGG
rnacentral:rRNA from 1 species